rnacentral:rRNA from 1 species
AUGAAGGCGAGCCCUGCUCCUAGGCCAAAUGGCCCGCCGAUGGCCUUCUUUUAGAAGUUUUGGCCUCGGUUUCAGCCGGUUAUCAUGCAGAUAUUCCAUGAAUUCUACAUUGGGGAACUUGACAUGGCGGGCUUGAACUUUGGUGUCAUUACCCUUAUCCCCAAAAUAGUUGGGGCAAUGGAUAUCCAACAAUUUAGGCAUAUCACGGUGAUUAAUGUGCUUGAGCGUAAUUUUGCGAAGGUUUGUGCAACACAUCUGGCAUCUAUUGUGGAGCGUGCACACCCCUUCCAAUCUGUGUUCCUGAAGGGUCGCCGCAUCCAUGAUGGGAUCUUGGUGUUGCGGAACGCAGUAAUUUCAAAAAAAUUCCUACGAUCACGCAAGAUCUAUGUGAUGCAUAGCAACGAGCGGGAGAGUGUUGUCCACGUACCCUCGUAG